rnacentral:rRNA from 1 species
AGUGAACGCUGGCGGUAGGCCUAACACAUGCAAGUCGAACGGCAGCACAGUAAGAGCUUGCUCUUACGGGUGGCGAGUGGCGGACGGGUGAGGAAUACAUCGGAAUCUACUUUUGCGUAGGGGAUAACGUAGGGAAACUUACGCUAAUACCGCAUACGACGUACGGGUGAAAGCAGCGGAUCUUCGGACCUUGCGCGAUUGAAUGAGCCGAUGUCGGAUUAGCUAGUUGGAGGGGUAAAGGCCCACCAAGGCGACGAUCCGUAGCUGGUCUGAGAGGAUGAUCAGCCACACUGGAACUGAGACACGGUCCAGACUCCUACGGGAGGCAGCAGUGGGGAAUAUUGGACAAUGGGCGAAAGCCUGAUCCAGCCAUACCGCGUGUGUGAAGAAGGCCUUCGGGUUGUAAAGCCCUUUUGUUGGGAAAGAAAAGCAGCAGGUUAAUACCCCGCUGUUCUGACGGUACCAAAAGAAUAAGCACCGGCUAACUUCGUG